UAUCAUCCUACUAAUUUUUCCAGUUCUUGUUCAGUCAAUGCAUACUUUUCGCCCGUGAUCUAUGCCUACUUUUCGCCUGUGACUUCUCUAACUUUUGUUGUGUUUUCUUGAUUGCUCGUGUGAAUUUUAGUUGAAAGUUGAAGUAUUUGUUCUCUUAUUUGAUAAUUGACGAUUCGAAGCAAUCAACACGAAGAUGGCUUAUGGCUUGGGGGAGACUAUUAUAUCUAUGAAAGAUAAGGGGAAAAUCACAGAGGCGAGAGGAUGCCAGAAGUGACCUGAGAGAGAGGCUGCAGAGACACAUGUACAAUAGGAAAGAACAUAAAGAAAGUUAAUUUGCUCACUCUGCCCAUCAAGAUGGAGCAUAUAGAUAAUAAUAUGUGCCAAAAAUGUGAAAGAUAUUCAAAAUGAUUGGUCCUUCAAUGGAAAAUUAACUGGGUGAAAUUUGAUGAGUUUGGCUUUCUGAUGUCAAAACAGGUUCCUUAAACAAAACAUUUCAAGGU